rnacentral:rRNA from 1 species
AACGAACGCUGGCGGCAUGCCUAACACAUGCAAGUCGAACGAGACCUUCGGGUCUAGUGGCGCACGUGUGCGUAACGCGUGGUAACCUGCCCUUAGGUUCGGAAUAACUCCCCGAAAGGUGUGCUAAUACCGGAUAAUGUCUUCGGACCAAAGAUUUAUCGCCUUUGGAUGGGCCCGCGUUGGAUUAGCUAGUUGGUAGGGUAAAAGCCUACCAAGGCGACGAUCCAUAGCUGGUCUGAGAGGAUGAUCAGCCACACUGGGACUGAGACACGGCCCAGACUCCUACGGAAGGCAGCAGUGGGGAAUAUUAGACAAUGGGCGAAAGCCUGAUCCAGCAAUGCCGGGGGAGUGAUGAAGGCCUUAGGGUUGUAAAGCUCUUUUACCCGGGAUGAUAAUGACAGUACCGGGAGAAUAAGCUCCGGCUAACUCCGUG